AACGAAGGGUGCAAGCGUUAAUCGGAAUUACUGGGCGUAAAGGGUGCGUAGGCGGUUCGUUAAGUCUGUCGUGAAAUCCCCGGGCUCAACCUGGGAAUGGCGAUGGAUACUGGCGAGCUAGAGUGUGUCAGAGGAUGGUGGAAUUCCCGGUGUAGCGGUGAAAUGCGUAGAGAUCGGGAGGAACAUCAGUGGCGAAGGCGGCCAUCUGGGACAACACUGACGCUGAAGCACGAAAGCGUGGGGAGCAAACAGG
rnacentral:rRNA from 1 species